GAUGAAGAACGUAGCAAAAUGCGAUAAGUAAUGUGAAUUGCAGAAUUCAGUGAAUCAUCGAAUCUUUGAACGCACAUUGCGCCCGCCAGUAUUCUGGCGGGCAUGCCUGUUCGAGCGUCAUUUCAACCCUCAAGCCCCCGGGUUUGGUGUUGGGGAUCGGGCUGUACUCCAGCCCGGCCCCGAAAUCUAGUGGCGGUCUCGCUGCAGCCUCCAUUGCGUAGUAGCUAACACCUCGCAACUGGAACGCGGCGCGGCCAAGCCGUUAAACCCCCAACUUCUGAAUGUUGACCUCGGAUCAGGUAGGAAUACCCGCUGAACUUAAGCAUAUCAAAAGCGGAGGA
rnacentral:misc_RNA from 1 species